rnacentral:rRNA from 1 species
GACGAACGCUGGCGGCGUGCUUAACACAUGCAAGUCGAACGGAAAGGCCCUGCUUUUGUGGGGUGCUCGAGUGGCGAACGCGUGAGUAACACGUGAGUAACCUGCCCUUGACUUUGGGAUAACUUCAGGAAACUGGGGCUAAUACCGGAUAGGAGCUCCUGCUGCAUGGUGGGGGUUGGAAAGUUUCGGCGGUUGGGGAUGGACUCGCGGCUUACCAGCUUGUUGGUGGGGUAGUGGCUUACCAAGGCUUUGACGGGUAGCCGGCCUGAGAGGGUGACCGGCCACAUUGGUACUGAGAUACGGCCCAGAGUGGUACGGGAGGCAACGGUGGGGAAUAUUGCAGAAUGAGCGGAAGCCAGAGGAAGCAACGCCGCGUGCGGAAUAACGGCUUUCGGGUUGUAAACCGCUGUCGCCUGUGACAAAGCGUGAGUGACGGUAAUGAGUAAAGAAGCACCGGCUAACUACGUG